rnacentral:rRNA from 1 species
UACGUAGGGUGCGAGCGUUAAUCGGAAUUACUGGGCGUAAAGCGUGCGCAGGCGGUUUUGUAAGCCAGAUGUGAAAUCCCCGAGCUUAACUUGGGAACUGCAUUUGGGACUGCAAGGCUAGAGUACGGCAGAGGGGGGGGUAGAAUUCCUGGUGUAGCAGUGAAAUGCGUAGAUAUCAGGAGGAAUACCGAUGGCGAAGGCAGCCCCCUGGGUCGAUACUGACGCUCAUGCACGAAAGCGUGGGAGCAAACAGG